rnacentral:rRNA from 1 species
GCUGGCGGCACGCCUAACACAUGCAAGUCGAACGCAGUAGCAAUACUGAGUGGCAAACGGGUGAGUAUAAUGUGGGAAUCUGCCUUUUGGUUUGGAAUAACACGGGGAAACUUGUGCUAAUACCGAAUAAGCCCUUACGGGGAAAGUUUUAACGCCGAAAGAUGAGCCCGCACUUGAUUAGCUAGUUGGUAAGGUAAAAGCUUACCAAGGCAAUGAUCAAUAGCUGUUCUUAGAGGAAGACCAGCCACAUUGGGACUGAGACACGGCCCAGACUCCUACGGGAGGCAGCAGUGGGGAAUCUUGCACAAUGGGGGAAACCCUGAUGCAGCGAUGCCGCGUGAGUGAAGAAGGCCUUUGGGUUGUAAAACUCUUUCGUCGGGGAAGAAAAUGACUGUACCCGAAUAAGAAGGUCCGGCUAACUUCGUGCCAGCAGCCGCGGUAAUACGAAGGGACCUAGCGUAGUUCGGAAUUACUGGGCUUAAAGAGCUCGUAGGUGGUUAAAAAAGUUGAUGGUGAAAUCCCAAGGCUCAACCUUGGAACUGCCAUCAAAACUUUUUAGCUAGAGUGUGAUAGAGGUAAGUGGAAUUUCUAGUGUAGAGGUGAAAUUCGUAGAUAUUAGAAAGAACACCAAAUGCGAAGGCAACUUACUGGGUCACUACUGACACUGAGGAGCGAAAGCAUGGGUAGCGAAGAGGAUUAGAUACCCUCGUAGUCCAUGCCGUAAACGAUGUGUGCUAGACGUUGGAAAUAUAUUUUUCAGUGUCGCAGCGAAAGCAUUAAGCACACCGCCUGGGGAGUACGACC